rnacentral:rRNA from 1 species
AGCUCCAAUAGCGUAUACUAAAGUUGUUGCAGUUAAAAAGCUCGUAGUUGAAUUUCUGGUCUUGGACAGCGGUCUGCCUCAAAAGAGGUACGCACCAUCUAUCCGAGUCCAUCCUCGGGGAAAACAUGUGUGUGAUUCAGUUCAUGUGCAUGGGAUCCUCGUCAUUUACUGUGAGCAAAAUAGAGUGUUCAAAGCAGGCUUAUGCCGUUGAAUAUUUUAGCAUGGAAUAAUAAGAUAAGACCUUGGUCUAUUUUGUUGGUUUGUACUCCAAGGUAAUGAUUAAUAGGGACAGUUGGGGGUAUUCGUAUUCAAUUGUCAGAGGUGAAAUUCUUGGAUUUAUUGAAGACGAACUACUGCGAAAGCAUUUACCAAGGAUGUUUUCAUUAAUCAAGAACGAAAG